rnacentral:snRNA from 16 species
AUACUUACCUUCUCGGAAUCUGGGCGCUCACCAUUGCCUUUGAUUUAGUGAGACCUCCUGCAUUGCACAGCGCGGUGAGGGAUCACUAUGAGUUGCCUUCGGGUACCUCAGCGGGGCAAUUUUUGAUGGAUCACAACCAUCACUCGAUGGUCUGCA